ensembl:lncRNA
GCCUCUAUUCUGCAUUAUAAUACUACUUCACAUCAUAUUCUGUGUUUUUGACCUCUUUUUGUUGUUUUGUAGGUUUUAAUCUGACGUCGUUCUCUUAUUCCCAGAUAUUUGGCAGCAGCCGCAGCCGUGAACUACAUAUACCAUCAUGCCUUGCGCGCUUACGUUUGCUGAAAGCAGCAUGUGCUUCGCUGCUCCGCUCCAACUAUGGCUCAGUGAGGCUGCGGCUCUUCUCAGGAUGGUGUCGUAUCGGCAGAGGCGCUCUUUGGAGCUACAGCAGAGACUAUCAUCGCACUGGACCAGAGGGAGGAACCGGCAUCUUUUUGUUCCUUACUGGAAAUAUUCAUAAUCUGCUUGAUUUGCCAAACCCAGUUUUUGGCACGGAUUCUUUUAAUUUACAAAGAGGAUUAAAUUGUAACGUUACAACGCGGACACACGUGGAUUGAUACUAUCAUUUUGCUUUAACCUGAUCAUGAGGGCAACAGCCGAGGGACUUAAAACUGUAGCUAUGGCUCGUCCUGUAGGUAUCAGGGAAAACUGUCCUGUCCGGGAUGAGUGGCGUCUGUUACUGCCACAGUCCUCCUGCUGGACAAGUCGGUCGACUCUCCUGGGAUAACUUGGGAUACACGCGUUGUCAACACUGUCAGAGGUGGUCAGUGUCAUAUGCUUUUGGAAAUGUAUUCUUUUGGAUUUUGGCACAAGGAAAAGGAUACCCUGGAAUAAAUUUUGGAAGCUGUGCUCCGUAGAUGUCCAGUGAUUUGGAUAAUAUGAAUACGCAUCUCCUGACCCAGCAGGCACACCGAAGGAACAUAGAAGAUCACAGAAAGGUGAAAGGAAAGGAUUCGUGGAGGACAGGUUUUUUUUCCCCUCGCACGUCCUUGACCCCCUCCCAGUGCGCAAACUGGAGAACAAACAGUAAAACACAUAGUGCAGUACAGGGGCAUUUCUGUCAGCCCAGAUACAGACAGACAGCACUCUAUUCAGUCUGAAGCUUCAUACACCACCUACCUCACAACAAGGACCCUAUGGAUCUGCAGGACAGAUGCUAAAAAAUGUCUACAACUCUAAUAGUAAGAAAGGAUUAUAUGCAGUUGAGGAGGUCACUGUUUGGAUUUACAGUGCAGAAGUUUAUUCUGUAGCACAAAAUUGACUUGACUGCAGGAAGGGUGCGAGAUCAUUUUCAGUUUGUGUCUGGUGCAUAUGCAUUUGAAACAGACAGGUGUCUGGAGUGGACUUUUAGGUGCAUUCUUUACCUGCCUUGCAUGCACAAAAAACAAAAAAAGUAAAAAUCAGAUUGGUCUAGGUUUUGCAAUACUUUAAAUUCCAGCUAUUUCUCCUGUUUUCUUUCAAAGUGAUUUCACUUGUUCUGUUCUUGCUCCUGUUUGAGGGGAAAAUUCCUCCCUUUGUCUUUCACAAAUGUCACAUUCCAUUCCACCGAACCUGUGACCAUGUUGGACCUUCACUUUGCUGGGUGUGGAUCGCCAUGGCAGCCUCACUGUGUUUCAGCCAGUCACACCUACAUAAUGAAGGAGUCCAGGCUCUUGGCAAUGAGAUGUCAACCUUUAUUUGUUCCCAGCAAUCUUCUGAUUAUCUCCAGUGAGCAACAAGAAGAGGCUGACUAAUGGAAACAUGAUCUCAAGAGAUUCAACAGGAUCACACCAAAUCCAAGUUUGGAUGGUGGACCAGCAUCCCCACAGCAGAUGUUUGCUCCUGGCAUGGCUGCUGACAGUAUGAGCUCCAUCACUGACAGUCUAGCUCUCAGGAUCCAGCCAGCAGCUUGAACUUGGAGGAGCCAUGACAUAAACUCACCAGGAUAGCAAAGCAUAUUCCGCUGCUCAGGCAUCAUGGAACAUAUCAGUCAACCUCUUCUGGAAAGGUGCUCAAGAGAGGAGUCAACUUGAUGAAUGAGCAUUUACUGUAGCUACCAUGACGGUCUACAUACUGUUUAACUAUUUUCUAAAUUGAAACUGGAUUAGUAUUUUCCCGUGCAUACAUCUGCUCUUGAUUUUCAAUAUUUACUGACACUGUUGCUCAUAUACUGUAGCUGUGAUUUUUACUGUGUUAUUCUAAAUACAGCAUCAAUAGUUUUUUUGGAUUUCAUUUUCUGGACUAUUUUUACUACUUUGAAGGCUAUUCUUUGCUUAACAUUUCAGGUUGAUCGAAUGAGGAUACAUAUCUCCUAUGCAUGUGAUCAAAAUGCCUCAGAAAAAUUACUCUGCCAAGACAAUGGAACAUUUCAAAGAAGCCAUUGUCAUCAUGGUCUUGAUAAAUGUAAAACAAAAUCUCUUUUAAUGACAACGCAUUUUGUUUUGACACAUUGGCAGCGUGUCUUAAUUCUGGUUCAUAAUCCUGUCAAGUUGUCGACUCUCAUUAUGAUUUAUUGCUCCAACAUUUGUGUUGUGUCUGUGAAACCUUGUUAGCAGAAAUAAAGAGGUGUAUCCAAGCUGCUGUCUGUUUUAUCAUUGCAUCUGCAGCUCUGUGAGAUGAGUAACCGAUAAGAUGGUUUCAUGAUGUUAUCUGUGUCAACUGUUAC